rnacentral:misc_RNA from 1 species
UCACUCAUCACGUAUUGAAUUUGUCGUCUGCUGAAGGCGUUUGUUUCAUGGUGUGUGCACUUUGUUCACUGGUCCACAGAAUGAGUGAAAACGGCAAAAAUCCCAAAGCUUUCAAUGACCGAUAUAACUCAUCUUUUUUUUAAGCAAAAGUUUUCCCGAUGCUACCUAAACUCUACAAUUAAUAGCAGCCACGAGAUCGAGAAUCGAGACGCCCAGGCUUUGUUUACACUAUUGCGCAUGCGUGGGGAAAGAAUGCUAGAAAGUACAAGUGACUUCCGGUAGACUAUUCUGCAAACUGCGGUUCUUCGAUUCGGUGAAACGACUUCUUUCAGCAACAAGACAGAGCGUGAAGAUGGCUGGAAACUUUUGGCAGAGUUCACACUAUCAGCAGUGGAUGCUCGACAAACAAGAUCUCUAUCGAGAACGUCAACAGGACCUGAAGGAAUUAACAGAAGAAGAAUACCAGAAAAUCAUGAUUUUUUUUGCCAAUUUUAUACAAGCAUUGGGUGAGCAGCUGAAGGUACGGCAGCAAGUGAUUGCCACAGCUACAAUAUAUUUCAAACGGUUUUAUGCCAGGAAUUCUUUGAAGUGUAUUGAUCCAUGGCUGAUGGCACCAACCUGUAUAUUUUUAGCAUCCAAAGUAGAAGAAUUUGGUGUUAUAUCAAACAGCAGAUUGAUAACAACUUGUCAGAAUGUAGUUAAAAACAAAUUUGCCUAUGCAUAUCCUCAAGAGUACCCAUACAGGAUACAGAACGUGCUGGAGUGUGAAUUUUAUUUGCUGGAAAUGAUGGAUUGCUGUUUAAUUUUAUAUCACGCAUAUAGACCACUUACAAAGUACUGUGCAGAUUUGAAUUCUGAUACUGAACUUCUUCCCUUAGCAUGGAGAAUAGCAAAUGACAGCUUAAGGACAGAUGUGCCAUUGCUCUAUCCACCAUAUCUGAUAGCAUUGGCUUGUCUCCAUAUGGCUUGUGUUAUCAAGCAGAAAGAUAUUAAACAGUGGUGUGCAGAGCUUUCAGUUGAUACAGACAAAAUACUUGAGAUUACCAGGCAGAUUCUAGCACUGUAUGAUAUGUGGAAAACAUAUGAUGAGAAAAAAGAAAUAGCUGCUGUCCUUGCAAAAAUGCCCAAACCAAAGUUGAAUCCUUCAAGACCCCCAUCUGAAGGUUCUAAUGGACAAGAUGGCUCGAACCAGUCUGUUCAAGGUCAAGGGCAGAAUUUACAGCAGUCGAAUAUGCAGAGCAGUGGUCCAUGAUGUGGCCCAGUGUAACUUGCCUAGAAAAGUUAAUGUUGACCUGCUACACUAAGAGAGCUUCAUGAGGAAUGGACAUUGAGCAUAGAACCCUUUCAGGAAAAAAGUGACAGCAUUGCAAGAAAAAAAUUAAGGGCAUUUAUGUGCAUAACAAGUGCACUAAUGGUGGAUGAUAUCUGUGCAGAAGACAUUUCUCAGAACUUUCUGUGUAAGCAUAGCAAGGAAAGAUGGGCUUUGUUGUAACUGCCAUUGGUCCUGGCUAGGCCAGUCUACAGUGAAUGCUCAUAUUCUAUAGCCAGCACAGUGGUGAAAAGUUUUACCUCGGAUUUGAACAUAUAAAAGUGUCGUUAUUUAUUACGCAAUGCUAGAUUUAGAUUGGAAAAGAGGGGGAAAGGUUCAUUUUUGGACAAAUGUUUGUUCUAUAUGCGAGGCUGACUCUUCUUCCAGAAACAUUAACAGGGAUGUUAUAAUUUAAGGAUUCCAGAUUUAUUUUUCUCACCUAGUUGAUCAUACCCUUCGUCCACAAAGUGCUGUGAUCCCAUGGGCCUGAUAAAUGUUUCUGACUGAUGCACUCAAAAGAGAAGAAUAACUGUUGUAGAUAGAGGUGGGGAAAGAGACACAGUGCAGAAAAGAAGGAAAAAAUAUGCGAAGAGUCAGGGUUUAAUGAAUUCAUUUCCUGAAUAUGAAAACAGCAAACCUUUAUGAGGUGGACAGCUGCAAGGAGCAGAAUUGUCUUGGAAGAUUUUAUGUCACUGUGAUGUUUUCACCUUUCACUCCAAUACAUAGAAAUGAUUGACAGUAUUUUUGUAUUACCUACCUCAUGUUAAACUGCACAUCCAUCAUCUGGUGUCAUUUUACACCUGCCAGUUGUUCGUAUAGGAAGAUACUGAAAGAGUGGUUUUGUGUGAUAUAACAGCUAACUCUAUAAAGUGACAAAACUUGCAAAAUCUGUGUAUGUUUUGUGGAUUUGAUCAGCUGUGCAUUUCCAUCGUCCGAUUCUCUGAUUACCAAAAGGGAUCUGACAGAAUUGUGAUAAAAUAUUUUUCUUGGCCUAAGUGUGAAGUGUGCUAAUAAAAAGGGUAUUUUUUAUUUUUAUCAGUUUGCUGGUUCUCAUGCUUUGGUUUGGUUCAAGUUUACUGGAAAUAUUUUAGAAAAAUAACUGAAUGAAAAAAAUAUUCUGAAUACCUGGGCAUAAUUUUUGUGAGCAAUCCAUUUAUUUGUUGUGAAGAGUUGAAAUAAUUGUGUUAAAAAAAAACCGGCAUGAUUGUUUACAUAGUUUCAGUGUAUUAGAUGUAUUUUCCUAAAAGGAUGUGAACUUGUAAAAACUUGCUGCUGUAUGCAAAUCCAAGCAUAUGAGAAUGGUAUGAUUUGUAAAGGAUUAAGGUGAGUAUUGUCAGAGAACCUUUGUUAAAUACAUGCAGAAACUGUGCAUGUUCAACUUUGAGUUUCUCCAUUUUAAGUCUAGAAUCUCUUGCUUCAUCUUUAAUGAGAGCUAAUGUAACUUUAUUGAAAUAAGAUGAACAACAAAUUUUAAACUUUGGAUGCUGAUGCUGGACUAGAAAAAUCUCAGUACAUCUACCCCAAAACAGAACAAGGCAAGUUAGGUAAAUGGGACAGCAUACGAAAAUCUGUAAAUACUAGAAAAUUUGAGUCACAGGAAAGAUGUUUAUAAAAAAUAUUUACAGAAGACACCAAAGUCAUCAUCAGCUAGUGUAUUCAUGAUGAUAACCUCAUAGAUGGUGUAGUUAAAAACAUAGGGAGAUAAACUCAGAUGUAUGGCCAAUUGUUGUUCAUGGUGAGUAUGAGGACCAUGGCUGUGCAUGCAUUUUGGUGUGAAACUCCUUUUUCUUUCUCCGCCUAUCCAUGUAAUAAUUUCCAGCAUUGGUUUAAUCCUCAGCUUAACCAAAAGUUCUUUACAUGAGCGGUGGUUGUAGAAAUACAUUAGAUACAUUCCUUAAGUCAAAACUCUUUCAGUCCAUUAUUAAAUUCCAUCUUAUAAUUGAUAUCCUUUCCUUUCAUAGAGGACAGAACUAUUGCAAAGAAGAGGUGCAAAGACCAUUUGCAGAUAGAUUUCAAAAUUACUGCUGUUAACUUUAUGUAUUCUCAUGUAUGUAUUGCCUGAGGUAGAGGUAACAUUUCUUAGACCAUUUUUCUUCAUAUGGGUCAUAAUUUGUUCCCUGCUUUUGCUGAAAGAAUUAUGAGGUAUGCAGAAAAUAUUUUAAUGUGCUGUUGUAGCAGUGUGAAUGAAUUUUAGCAUGAUUUCAGGAUGUUUAGAAUGUAAGUGGAUUUCAGCAAUAUGUAGAAUGUCAGGAUUGGAAUAAAGUUACAGAAAGCA